rnacentral:rRNA from 1 species
GAGUUUGAUCCUGGCUCAGGAUGAACGCUAGCGGCAGGCUUAAUACAUGCAAGUCGAGGGGCAGCAGCUUUAUAGCAAUAUAGAGGCUGGCGACCGGCAAACGGGUGCGGAACACGUACACAACCUUCCUUGAAUAGGGGGAUAGCCCAUAGAAAUGUGGAUUAAUACCCCGUAAUAUAGCGGUGUGGCAUCACACUGUUAUUAUAGUUUCGGCGAUUCGAGAUGGGUGUGCGGCUGAUUAGGUAGUUGGCGGGGUAAAGGCCCACCAAGCCUUCGAUCAGUAGCUGAUGUGAGAGCAUGAUCAGCCACACGGGCACUGAGACACGGGCCCGACUCCUACGGGAGGCAGCAGUAAGGAAUAUUGGUCAAUGGACGCAAGUCUGAACCAGCCAUGCCGCGUGAAGGAUGAAGGUCCUCUGGAUUGUAAACUUCUUUUAUAGGGGGCGAAAAAAGGUCUUCUAGAUCACUKACAKACCCC